UGCGGCUGCUAGCCAGUCUGC
rnacentral:misc_RNA from 1 species